rnacentral:rRNA from 1 species
GAUGAACGCUGGCGGCGUGCUUAACACAUGCAAGUCGAGCGAACGGACGCUGAUCUUGUUUUUUUGACGUUUGCCGCGCACGGGUGUGUCACACGUGUAUACUCUACUUAUCAGUCUGGUAUAACUUCGGGACUCCGGCUCUUACCCCGUAUAAUCUCCUGCACCGAAUUGUUCAAUAGUGAAUGACGGCCUUGCUGUCUCUUAUCGAUGGUUCUCCGCUUCAUUAGCUAGUUGGUACGUUAACGGCUUAUCAAGGCAACGAUGCCUAGCCGAACUGAGGGGGUGGUCGGCCGCACUGGAGCUGAGACACGGACAAGGCGCCUACGGGAGGCAGCAGUAGGGAAUCUUCCGCAAUGGGCGAAAGCCUGGCGGAGCAGCGCCGAGUGAGUGAUGAAGAUCUUCGGAGCGGAAAACUCUGUUAUUAGGGAAGAACAUAUGUGGAAGGAACUGUGCACAGCGUGACGGUACCUAAUCAAAAAGCCACGGCUAACUACGUG